UGAAUAAAAAAAAUUAAUAAUUAAAUAAAUAAUAAAAGUAAUUUUAAUAUUAAAAUAAAUAAUGGGGGUUAAAGUAUUUUAAUAGAAAAAAUUAUAAAUUUUAUAGUAAAUUAGUAUAAUAGUAGAAAUUUGAAAUAAUUGAAAAAAUAUAUUAAAAAAAGUAAAUUUUAUUUAUUGUAUCUUGUGUAUCAGAGUUUAUUAAAUAAAAUUUUUAUAAAAAAAUAUCUCGAAUUUAAAAGGGUUAAUUAAUUAAUAAAUUUAAUGUUGAAUAAUUAUUUUAAAUAAUUAAUUAGAAAUGAAAUGUUAUUCGUUUUUAAAUAUAUCUAGUUAUUUUAGAAAAAAAUUUAAUUUUAAAUUUAUUUUUUUUUUAUAAAUAUAAUUUUUAAAAAAAAAUAAAUUUUAUAAUUUAAGGGAUAAGCUUUAAAUUAAAAUAUUAUAAUUAUUUUAAAAAAAAAUUAAAAUUUUUAAAAUUUAAAUUGUUUAAAAAUUAAAAUUUAUUAUAAAAAAUUUUAUUAAAAAUAAAAUUUAUUUGAAUUUAAUUUUUUAUAAAAAUAUGAUAAAUAAUAUUAAAUUAUUAAAAAUAAUGAUAAAAUUAGUAUAAUAAAAUAAUAUAUAAGUAAAUUUUAUUUAAAAAUGAAUAAAAGGAAUUCGGCAAAUUUAUAUAUUCACCUGUUUAACAAAAACAUGUCUUUUUGAUAUAUAAUUUAAAGUCCAAUCUGCCCACUGAUUUUAUAUUAAAGGGCUGCAGUAAUUUGACUGUACAAAGGUAGCAUAAUCAUUAGUCUUUUAAUUGAAGACUUGUAUGAAAGAUUAGAUGAAAUAUAAACUGUUUCUUAUUUAAAAAUAGAAUUUAAUUUUUUAGUUAAAAAGCUAAAAUAAAUUUAAAAGACGAGAAGACCCUAUAGAGUUUAAUAUUUUUUUAUUUAAAAUAUUUAUAUAAAAUUUUAAUAUUAAAAAUAAAUAAUUAUUAUAUUGGGGUGAUAAAAAAAUUGAUUAAACUUUUUUUAAAAUUAAACAAAAAUAAAUGAUUAAAUGAUCCAUAAUUAAUGAUUAAAAGAAAAAAUUACCUUAGGGAUAACAGCGUAAUAUUUUUUUUUAGUACAAAUAAAAAAAAAGUUUGCGACCUCGAUGUUGGAUUAAGAUAAAAUUUAGAUGCAAAAGUUUAAAAUUUUGAUCUGUUCGAUCAUUAAAAUCUUACAUGAUCUGAGUUCAAACCGGUGUAAGCCAGGUUGGUUUCUAUCUUUAAAAAAAUAAAAUAUUUUA
rnacentral:rRNA from 1 species